rnacentral:rRNA from 1 species
AACGCUAGCUACAGGCUUAACACAUGCAAGUCGAGGGGCAGCAUGGUCUUAGCUUGCUAAGGCCGAUGGCGACCGGCGCACGGGUGAGUAACGCGUAUCCAACCUUCCCCUUAGUAGGGCAUAGCCCGUAGAAAUGCGGAUUAAUACCCUAUGUUGUCCUCCAAUGGCAUCAGCCGUGGACCAAAGGUUUACCGCUAAGGGAUGGGGAUGCGUCUGAUUAGGUUGCAGGCGGGGUAACGGCCCACCUGGCCUACGAUCAGUAGGGGUUCUGAGAGGAAGGUCCCCCACACUGGUACUGAGACACGGACCAGACUCCUACGGGAGGCAGCAGUGAGGAAUAUUGGUCAAUGGCCGAGAGGCUGAACCAGCCAAGUAGCGUGAAGGAUGAAGGUUCUAUGGAUUGUAAACUUCUUUUAUACGGGAAUAACAUCACCUACGUGUAGGUGCCUGCAUGUACCGUAUGAAUAAGCAUCGGCUAACUCCGUGCCAGCAGCCGCGGUAAUACGGAGGAUGCGAGCGUUAUCCGGACUUAUCGGGUUUAAAGGGAGCGUAGGCGGAAGUUUAAGUCAGUUGUGAAAGUUUGCGGCUCAACCGUAAAAUUGCAGUUGAUACUGGAUUUCUUGAGUGCGGUAUAGGUAGGCGGAAUUCGUGGUGUAGCGGUGAAAUGCUUAGAUAUCACGAAGAACUCCGAUUG